GGCCUACCAUGGUGGUAACGGGUAACGGGGUGUUAGGGCACGACACCGGAGAGGGAGCCUGAGAAACGGCUACCACAUCCAAGGAUGGCAGCAGGCGCGCAUAUUACCCAAUCCCGACACGGGGAGGUAGUGACAAUAAAUAACAAUACGGGGUUCUUUCGGAUCUCGUAAUUGGAAUGAGUACAAUUUAAAUCUCUUAACGAGGAACAAUUGGAGGGCAAGUCUGGUGCCAGCAGCCGCGGUAAUUCCAGCUCCAAUAGCGUAUAUUAAAGUUGUUGCAGUUAAAAAGCUCGUAGUUGAAUUUCGGGAUCAAUAUAUUGGUCAUGCUUAGGUAUGUACUGGUAUUAUUGAUUUCUCCCUUCUGAAGAACCAUAAUGUCAUUAAUUUGAUGUCAUGGGGAAUCAGGACUGUUACUUUGAAAAAAUUAGAGUGUUUAAAGCAGGCUUUCGCUUGAAUACAUUAGCAUGGAAUAAUGAAAUAGGACGUUUGAUUCUAUUUUGUUGGUUUCUAAGAUCGACGUAAUGAUUAAUAGGGAUAGUUGGGGGCAUUAGUAUUCAAUUGUCAGAGGUGAAAUUCUUGGAUUUAUUGAAGACUAACUACUGCGAAAGCAUUUGCCAAGGAUGUUUUCAUUAAUCAAGAACGAAAGUUAGGGGAUCGAAGACGAUCAGAUACCGUCGUAGUCUUAACCAUAAACUAUGCCGACUAGGGAUCGGAUGAUGUUAAUUUUUUAAUGACUCAUUCGGCGCCUUACG
rnacentral:rRNA from 1 species